CCAGCUCUCUUAGCCACAAGGCUAUGAUCAAGUGUAGUAUCUGUUCUUCCCAGUCUAACCAGCUGGGCAAGCAUCCCCACGGGGAUCGCGAGCCUGUUUUUCCAACGGUUGACAAAAUUUUU
rnacentral:snRNA from 1 species